rnacentral:lncRNA from 1 species
UUGGUUAGGAGCUUUCCAAUAAGGCUGGUUUUUUUGGUGCAUUGAAGCAAUAUAGCAUCAUAGCAAUAUAGCAUCAUGAAUGAGGUUAACUACCAUUUAGUUAUCCAUGCACUCAUGUAAUUGUAGCUUUUCAGAAUCUCCGUUUGGAUCCCAUGAGCUAUGUUAAUGAAGUGUGCAAAUUAGAAUACAUGUACAACAUGUAGAGACACGUAUUCUCACCAAUCCCAAAUGAACGUAGGUGCUCAUCUGUAUUGCUUUCUCCGUUUAAGCUUUUAUCG